rnacentral:lncRNA from 1 species
UCAACUUGUCCCGGUGUUACACUACCAGAGCGACACUAAGUACUAUUAUUACAUCCCAAAAUAAAUAAAACAAAAUAAACGGAGAGACAUCUUGCCAAUCUCCUCGCCAAAAUAAGCAAGCAAGCAACUACUCCCCGACAGCAGUAUCCUUGACCUGGGAACCUGAACCCCCAACGGUUCAGCACAUACACAAAACAGAGAGUUAGUUAUCGAAAUUCACAUAAAGUGUAAGUAAUCAUGCAUACAAAACACCUUAAUUAAUUAAGCACAAAAACUACAAUUGUCUCACAUCACAAUUAAAUACAAGAUUAAAUCACAAAUAAUCAAGUACAAUUGAUUAAUGUCAAUAUCAUUCAUCUCCUAAAUGCAAACUAAUGUCACAACAAUGAAAUGUUCUCUUAACAUUUACUAAGUGCAUGUGGUACCGUCUAGCUCAACUAUAUUGGACCAACCGAAUCCAAAUCUCAACUAUCUCAACAAUAUCAUCACAAAGGAUGCUCAACUAUAAUGCAUCAAUGGAAUGCAUGAAUGAUCAAGUACCAAACAUAUGAUACUACUCAACUAUAAAUCAUCAUGAUAAAUGGAUAACAUAAUCCAAUAAUACUCAUCAUCAUGUCUCAACUAUAAUAUCUCGUUCAUCAACACAACAAUCAAUUAUUACAAAACAAUUAACAAGUAUACACUUAUUAAAUUGCUCAUAUACAUCUUUUCGAAACCUAAUAAAUACUCCCAAGUCAUGCUUCAAUGAAUGAGAAGUAAAUUCAAUCAAAUAAGCAUACGAAAUACAUCAAAUAUAUAUAAAGUAUAUCAACAUAUAAGCAAACUAUAUAAACCAAGCCUUAUCUCAGAAAACUAACCCCGGAAAUGGAAUCUACGCGAAAAACUGUGGAAAAUAAGUUCCGGGUGCAUAAGUCAACAAAAGUUAAAAAAAAUCAAACAAACAGUAGCGUCGAUCAUAGCGUCGGCCAGUUUUCAACGCGAAUCUGCAGAAUUGCGUUUUGGACCUGGGGUUCCUCAAAUAAUCACUUAAAACCCACGAAAAUGAAGUUUAAAGGUUCUAAAACACAUACCAAUCAAUUAGUUAACUUAUAGCUUAUUCAAAAGCACUUAAAACAACUUAAAAUCAUCAAACAACUCNNNNNNNNNNNNNNNAGUUUGGGAAUGGAGGAAAAGGUUUCCUCCCCUCUCAUUAAGCUUGUCUCAAAGAAUUUCAUAACCACUCUCUUACCUUAACAAUUUGUUGGAAACUUUGGUCUUCCUCUUCAAUUCCUAAGCUUGUUCUCCCACUCUUGAUUUUUCUUCAAGAACUCUCCAAAACCCUUCUUUUACGUUUUUCCCUUUUUAUGACCAAAUACUCAUAUUUAUUAACUUUCUCAUCUAAACCUAAUUUCAUUACCUCACUACUUAAACUACCCUUUUUAUUUAUUAAUUUCUCAUUUUCAUGUUUAGGCCCAAAACACACUAAGCCCACCAAUCCUAAUUAAUUAAUUAGAUAUCUUAAUCCUAAUCAAUCUAAAAACUCAUAACCAACUAAAGGUACUAAUUACUAUUAUACCUCCAAAA